UGCAGGGACCUGAGAAACAGGGGAUCUCAUCAAAUUUAAAUAGUCCUACAAUCUCCUUUCAGAACUUAAACAUUUCACAUAUAAUUAAUCAAUAUGGGAGGACUGGAUUUGGCUAUAAAAUCAGAAAAUGAGGGUAGACUGCACAAUAGAGUCUCCUGGAACUUGAGUUUGGUGAUGGCAUCAGGUAAAGACACAAGGUAGAAGAAAUGAAGUGCACUGCACUGAGUUUUGUGAAAGAGCGAGGAGACAAGGUUCUUAGUGUUAAUCUUGCUUUGUCAAAAAGAUGUUAUCUUCCCAGCAGCAUCAUGUUAUCAAAGAUAUGAACCUUAAAUCAACAGCUGUUACACCUCCAGCAAGUUAUGAAUUUUUCCUGAUUUAUAGCAAUCACUCUUUUUAUUUCUUUUCUCAGUCAAGCAGGGAAAUUAAGGUUAUUUUCAUGUAAAAGACACAUACAUUAUGGCUUGGUAUUU